UGUUGACCCCUGCGGCACACCAUUUUCUAAAACAUACUCUUUUGAGUGGAUGUCACCGAUUCUUACAACAAACUUUCUGUUCUCUAGAAAGGAUUGUAUAAAUUUUGGUAACUUCCCUCGAAGAUUGUAUUUAUACAUAUUCUGCAAUAUUCCAUAUCACCAAGUCAUGUCGUAAGCGCCCUUUAUAUCAAAGAAAACCGCAAGCAGGUGUUCACCACUGUCAAAUGCACUCAGAAUUCUAUCGGUCAAUUUGACCAAAUGGUCAGCCGUUGCCCGUCCCUUCCGAAAACCCGUUUGAUAAGUUUUCCCAAGCAAGACGUUAAACUAAUUGGGCGAUAACUUUGUGCCAGCAACGGAUCUUUUCCAGGUUUCGGUAUAGGAAUGACAACGGCCUGUUUCCAUUCCGAGGGGAGUACAGUGAUGAAACAUCUGGUUGUGGAUUUCGUCUUCUCCCGGUGAACAUGACUUGGUGUUACGGAUAGCGAUAUUCAACUCUUCUAAGACGACCACCACGGAACCAUUUUUGCUUUAUUGCCAGGUUUGGAUUUUGGAAUACUGGCGUUCGCAGCGUCUAAUAUAGCAGAUGUAAGAGUUUUUAAACUUAAGCUAUCUAGGGCUGGAGGGACGAACUUACUUGCAAAAAGUUCCCAAUCUGCUUGUGGGAUCUUAAAUCUAGCCACUGAUCUUAUCGUGGGAUUUUUGCCUCUAACAGAAAUGAUUAUGGGAAAAUGAUCGCUGUGAUGGAGAUCAGUUUCCACCUCCCAUUCAAAAUUACAGUAUAUA